GUCCAGUGCAGCUCUUCAAUAUCCUCACAUCAUGAACUUCUCUAUCUACGCCCUGCUGGUGGUGCUGGUGAUCGCCGUCUGUGUCGGCGUCAGCUCCGUCUCGGCCGACUACGGAGACGACGGGUACUACGGCGGGUACCGCGGAUACCGUCGCAGCUACCGCCGCAGCUACUACCGCCGCAGGGGAUAGACGCCGACCUCAGCUGGACUGAUGUCGACCCACUCAGGCUGCCCACUGGACACUCCAUGGCUGUCACCGACUCCCACACCACCGGGAGCGAACUCAGAGCGUGCUAUAUCGAACGAUAAGGCAUUUUUUGGUGCCGUGAAACGCUCGACCACCUGACCAAAUAAACUGGAAAAACUA
rnacentral:misc_RNA from 1 species